UCUGGUGGCAAUAACGUGGAGGCAACACCCCUUACCAUUUCGAACAGGAAGGUUAAGUUCCACAGUGCCCAUGGUACUGCAGGGGAGGCCCUGUGGGAGAGCAGGUCGCUGCCGGAU
rfam:Clostridium kluyveri DSM 555, complete genome.